rnacentral:lncRNA from 1 species
AAUUUUUCAUAAAGAUUAUAAAACAAUGCCAAAACAUUCUCUCAUUUAUAUAAUUCUGCUCAAUUGAGUUUACAAUAACCUGGAGGGAUUCUAUCAAAUCUCCACUACACACUGCCCCCGUCAGCCCAUCUCAACUAUGUAACUGGAAAGCCACUAACAAGAGGAACACAGUUGCUUAAAAACAUUUUAGUGGUUUUUUUUUUAUAUUAUGGCAUAGAAGUCACAAUAACAUUUAACUUAAUCGUAAGCAGGGCCUUUGAAUUUUUAAAUAUGCAAUUCACCAUUGAAAGAAGUAUAAUGUACCGAAGUAGCUUAUAUUCAGGUUAUUUUAAUUUCCAGUCUAUAAUAAUAGUUUUCUUUGAUCAGUGUCCCCAAACUCUUCAUGAACUAUCAAUGAAGAGCUUCAUAAUUUUCUUCUGGUUGCAAAGGAUCAAAGCAUUCUUAUGUUUGCUAGAACUCUUUGAUUCUGCUGUACAAACAGGUGGUGAAUUUAUUUCAAUGCUCUUAAACUCUUUCUUGCUGUCUUGAGCUUAGGAAGAAGUGGUUUAUUUUAGCAAGAUGCUUAGAGGCCAGUUUGCUCUUCCCCCAUUUUUAAUCUUCUUUACAAGAUUUCCCAUAGUGAUUUGCACUACACUCUGGACCUGAAAAUGAAAGCUAAAAAAGGAUGAGACCCAUGAUCUUCCAGGCUGCAAAGAACACUCUGGGUGGAGUCCUGGUGGUCCUACUCCAAGGAUGUGAGGCCUGAGCACACCCAUUUGAUUUUGUUUGCCUUCUCUCUCCAUUGUGGAAGUCCUAUGUUCUAAUCUCGAGUCAUGUUGUAACUUAAAGUUGAGUUUUUAAGUCACAGAAAAAUGUGAAAUAGCCCAAUUGUAUUGGCCAAUUUUAACCAAAAUAAAGAGGCCCACAACAGUAUCAGAAGGAAAACUGGUUCCCAUCUUUGAAGUAAGAAAACCUCUUUCUAAAAUCACAACAUUCUAUGGACCUACCCAUGAUCAUAAUGACACUUUCAAUGAUAAAAAUAAUAUUUAACAAUUACUGAGCACUUGCUAUAUGCUAGACAGUGUUUUAAGUACUUCUCAUGUAUUAUUUAUUUCACUUAAUUUUCACAAUAUGCUUUGAACUAGAGCAUUAUCUCCAUUUUACAGAUGAGGAAAUAGAGGCAUGGCGAGGUCAAGGAACUUGCUUGACAUCGACAAUGGCUGAUUUCAGAGAUAGCAGCUAUUAAACUCCAGGCUACACUUGAUAGAGACAGUAAGUCUGGUAUUUGUUUAUUAAGAAAAUACAUAAAGGCUAAAUAAACCAUUACUGAUUCAGUAAUGCUUCUCAGUGAAUUUGUAUUUUAUCCCCCAUAUAACUAAAACCAAUAGUACACAUAAGACAUGAAAUGUCACAUCACACAACGCCUGCUUCCAAACAGUGAUUCCAGGCUCCACCCCAAUCUCCCUCCUCCAGUGGACUCUGAGUCAAAAGGUGGAAACCACUGGUGUAAAAUUGGGAGUAGAGACUUGCACUUGAAAUCAGAAGUUGUGGUUUUAAUUCCUGUCCCCUCAUAUUUGCCCCACAAAUUAAUUUUUGUGAACCCAAGACCUAACGGUAGUCCUUGGCUACUGCCGCUCUUUUAUCUACACUUGCAAUUCUUUUUUCUCAAUUCUUCAUAUCAAAAUUUCCUGAGUCGGAAUUUUGUAGAAACCACACCUGCUCUAAAGGAGACACACCGCAGCUCCCCACAGCUGGGUAGCUUAUAGCUCUUAGUUCUUAGAGUCAGCAUCAACAAACAUUGGGUUGUGGUAACCAAAAACCAUAGGUUAGCUAAAAGAUCAUGAUACAAUUGUUUUAGUAAAUCAUGGUUAUUAACAAAUGAAACCAGACUUGUCUAACAGAUUUUCAUCUACAAAUACUGUUAUGUGCAAAAAGUAGCGUCUAUGGUAUUUUUCACACCACUGCAUUUACUAGAACUGCUGAGAGGACUGUAUAUAUGAUUUCAAACCUAAGUUGAUUUCUUUUUUCUCACUCUUUAAAAGGGUUACUUCUUUGUGAAACCAGUUCUUACAGCUUUGUUUUCAACCAGCUAAAAAUGUUUUAUAUAUAACUCUAACCUGUCGCCCUACACAUUCUAUUGUCCGAAUUGUACUGUUUUCUGAUCCAUAUUUAUGUCUUGAGACAGUAACUUUGAAUAAAAAUAAACCUAUAGUUAAAAAAAAAAA